rnacentral:rRNA from 1 species
GAAUUUUAUAUAAAUUUGUUAUGUUUUAUAUUAGGUAUAGGUAUAUGAUAAUUUUAUAUUUUAUUGGGAGGAUAAAUAAAUUAAAAAAACUUUAAUAAUUAAAAAUCCAUUAAUUUAUGAAUUUAAAUUAAAUGAGUGAUUAAAUAAGUUUUAGAAGAAUUAAUUACCUUAGGGAUAACAGCGUAAUAUUUUUAGAGAGAUCUUAUUAAUAAAAAUGAUUGC